ACGGCUCAGUAACACGUGGACAACCUACCCUUAGGUCGGGGAUAAACCCGGGAAACUGGGUAUAAUACCCGAUAGAUCUCGACUGCUGGAAUGCAUCGAGAUCGAAAGCUCCGGCGCCUAAGGAUGGGUCUGCGGCCUAUCAGGUAGUAGUGGGUGUAGCGUACCUACUAGCCUACGACGGGUACGGGUUGUGAGAGCAAGAGCCCGGAGAUGGAUUCCGAGACACGAAUCCAGGCCCUACGGGGUGCAGCAGGCGCGAAAACUUUACAAUGCUGGAAACAGCGAUAAGGGGACCUCGAGUGCCGGGUUACAAAUCUGGCUGUCGUGAUGCCUAAAAAGCAUUGCAUAGCAAGGGCCGGGCAAGACCGGUGCCAGCCGCCGCGGUAACACCGGCGGCUCGAGUGGUAACCGUUAUCAUUGGGUCUAAAGGGUCUGUAGCCGGCCGGAUAAGUCUCUUGGGAAAUCCAGCAGCUCAACUGUUGGGCUUUCAGGAGAUACUGUCUGGCUCGAGGCCGGGAGAGGUGAGAGGUACUUCAGGGGUAGGGGUGAAAUCUUGUAAUCCUUGAAGGACCACCAGUGGCGAAGGCGUCUCACCAGAACGGACCUGACGGCAAGGGACGAAAGCUAGGGGCACGAACCGGAUUAGAUACCCGGGUAGUCCUAGCCGUAAACGAUACUCGCUAGGUGUCGGCCACGGUGCGACCGUUGUCGGUGCCGUAGGGAAGCCGUGAAGCGAGCCACCUGGGAAGUACGGCCGCAAGGCUGAAACUUAAAGGAAUUGGCGGGGGAGCAC
rnacentral:rRNA from 1 species